rnacentral:rRNA from 1 species
UACGUAGGGGUCUAGCGUUGUCCGGAAUUAUUGGGCGUAAAGAGCUCGUAGGCGGUUCGGCAAGUCGGAUGUGAAAUCUCCACGCUUAACGUGGAGGGGCCAUUCGAAACUGCCGUGACUCGAGUCCGGUAGGGGAGUUCGGAAUUCCCGGUGUAGCGGUGAAAUGCGCAGAUAUUAGGAAGAACACCAGUGGCGAAGGCGACUUACUGGACUGUAACUGACACUGAGGCAUGAAAGCGUGGGGAGCAAACAGG